rnacentral:misc_RNA from 1 species
GAUGAAGAACGUAGUGAAAUGCGAUAAGUAGUGUGAAUUGCAGAAUUCAGUGAAUCAUCGAAUCUUUGAACGCACAUUGCGCCCUUUGGUAUUCCUUAGGGCAUGCCUGUUCGAGCGUCAUUUGAAACCUCAAGCUCAGCUUGGUGUUGGGUGUCUGUCCCCGCCUCCGCGGGGACUCGCCUCAAAAUCAUUGGCGGCCGGUACGUUGGCUUCGAGCGCAGCAGAAACGCGAACUCGCGGCCCGGCGGAUCGGCGACCAGAAGUCUCUUCUUCACAGUUUGACCUCGGAUCAGGUAGGGAUACCCGCUGAACUUAAGCAUAUCAAUAAGCGGAGGA